rnacentral:rRNA from 1 species
CAAAGAACUUUGAAGAGAGAGUUCAAAAGGACGUGAAACCACUUGCAAGUAAACAGAUGGAACCACGAAGUGUAGCUGAGAGGAGAAUUCAAUUUUACUUAAAGAACAAUUGUGGUUAUGAGUAGUGUGUAUUCUUGGCUUACUUUUCUUGAAGUAAGUUUGAGUAAAGGCAUUUGCUCUUCCACUUAUUAUUAGUGUUCUUUCUUUAGUAAAUGCAUUUUCACUCUUCUCAUGCUCGAGCCUUGUACAAUAGGGUAAUAUUUAAAGGAAAAUAUUACAUGCAAUAAAUAUGCCAUGUGAUCAGUUUGCUAGGGUUCAUUUAUUCUAAUGGAUUUUAUCUAUUUAGUUAUAAAUGUAAACUAUGCUUAUCUGUGUAAUAUAUGUAUGUUUUUUAAACAUUCUAUAUAUUAUAUCAAAACUAUUUUCCACCCUAUUGUUUAUGAAAGUUUCUCUAAGGAGAAUGCUUACAUAGAUUAAGGGUAGGAUAUCUGUUUGUCAUAUUUGUCUAUCAAUUGUUUAUUAGGAUAAUUUUAUUCAUUAAUUGAAUGAGAAUUCCUGAUUGAUAGAUGAACUGAAUAUGCAGCAGAUAAUUCUUUCUGAAACCUACCUGUAUAAUAUGCAUCAUAUUGAAAGUAUAACUGCACAUAUUAAAAUGCCUAUUAGUUUUUCUAAUAGUGUAUUUGUAUGUGUAUGUAAUAUGUUGCAUAAAAUCUAAGGCCAGUAGAUCGGUAAUCCAUCUGACCC